GCAAAUAGCAGAGGUGUGGCUCUGACACUAAGGAGAAAAGGACAAGGUAUGACUGCACACAGCAAUCGGAUCUCUUGGUCACACUGAGACCGGUGACCUAUCAGUUCUUAUAAGAGAAGCAGAGGCUCUACUGAGCGGAAGCUCUGGCCAAAAGCUUUCUCAGGACAGCCAACAGACUUGUUACACACGUCACCGCAACCCAGGCUGUGGCUGAUGAAGCUAGAGUGGGGACAGCCCACGGCUAAGGUCUCUCUGAGGUUGUCCAAGGAUCAUGUGGCCACCCAAGGCUUCCGUCCACCACUGCCAAUGAGGAGACUGGACCAUAUGGAAGCGAAGAACAAACGCAUUCAAGACAAAGGUGAUCACUCGAAACAACACCUACGGAAAAAGAGGGAAAAUACAC